UCGUAUAUCUUGAUUUUCAGGUAUGUGUACAUUACAUUCUAUUGUACUCACUCUUGUCAAAACUUGUUGCAACAUAUCAUUGAUAUUUUCAAAUUUUCGACCAAUUCUAUUUUUAAACUCCAUAAAAUCAGAUUUCGAGAAUGGGCAUACCUCUGGUAAAUCAUCAUCAUUGAUAUGAGCAGAUUUACCUCGAGACAUGCUUUACUGUUGACUAGGAAUGUUGACUUGCUCUGAUACCAACUGAUGUAGCAGUAACGCGGAAGAUAACAAGUUUGGGUCUUGAAUCCACAAAACUCAAAACUUGGAGAAGAAACCAACUUCUGAAUCCACAGAUUCGGAAUCUUCAGCCCUUGAGUCCACAAGGGGUCGCCUGAAUCCACAAGUAAAAAAGGAGAACUCUCA
rnacentral:lncRNA from 1 species